rnacentral:tRNA from 1 species
GGAAAAGGAGACCUCACCCCUCCCUAAGACU